AGGCUUGUAUGAAUGGUUGGACAAAAAAUAAGCUGUCUCAAUUGUAAGAAUUGAAUUUAACUUUUAAGUGAAAAGGCUUAAAUAAUCUAGGGGGACGAUAAGACCCUAUAAAGCUUUACAAUUAUCUAGUUAAGUUAUAAAUUGUUAGUAUAAACUUAGGUUAAUUAGUGUUUGUUUCGUUGGGGCGACGAGAAUAUAAUUUUGUAACUGUUCUUUUAUGGUUUGUUACAGUAAUUUUUGGUAAAAAAUUGAUCCUUUAUUAAAGAUUAAAAGAUUAAGUUACUUUAGGGAUAACAGCGUAAUCU
rnacentral:rRNA from 1 species